CCAGACAGUGAGAGCAGCAUUGGCAUUUUGGGUGAAAGAGUACAUCACCUACAAAGAGAUUGAGAAACGUGAACAAGUUUACAUUAACAAAGCACUUAAGAGACUAAUGUUCAACCCAAACAUUGAGGUUCUUGGAAACUUGAGCACCAAAAGACAAGCCAUAUUGUCAUUUAUCAUUUAUUCUACCACCAAUGAAAGUUCUUUAUCACCUGGUUGGGGCAUUAAAUGGCUGGAAGACAGCCAGAAGCAGCAAAAACAAAGAGAACUUGAUCUGUGGAAAGAGACAGAGAGCAAAAGAGGUAAGCAACUUCAUGGCCCUUAUGUUGCAACACUUCUAAGUGACCUAUUUGGCAUCCAAGCUCGUGGAGGGUGUGCUUGUGCUGGACCUUAUGGCCACCAAUUGCUCACUAUCAACAAAUCUCAAUCUCUUGCUAUUAGAUCAGCAAUUCAAGAGGUAUAGUGUCAAAAAUUUAUAUCACAAAACAUUUUAUUCUAUAAAACAUUAAACAUUCUAUUGUCAUAAACUGGUUACAUAACAUGUCGACACAAAUGUCUGUUACAUACACUAUUCCAGAAAAAAACUUGUUUUAGAACCAAAUUUGGCUAAAUAAUGUUUAAACUGAUGUUGCUUAUUACUUGAACAGGGUUAUGUUGGUGUGAAACCUGGAUGGAGUAGAGUUAGUUUUCCGUAUUACAUGGAGGAGGAGGAAUUUGAGUUCAUUUUAACAGCGAUAGAGUUUGUAGCAAACUAUGGCCAACGCUUCCUUCCCUUGUAUAGCUACAAUCUGAGAAACGGAAGUUGGAGAAUGAAGAAAGAGAAACUUCAGGCUCUGAUAAACCAAAAUAACUGCAACUUUCAGAAAACUCUAAAGGAAGCAAAUGAUUUGAAAGCAGUCAAAGCAGGUGUUGGAACCAAACAAUUUCGUGUGUUAAGAAAAUCAUACCUAGAUAUAUCAAAAUGUAUUGCUGGUCUUCUCCCCAACUUCC
rnacentral:lncRNA from 1 species